rnacentral:rRNA from 1 species
GUUUCUGCUUCAUAGAAGGCGCUUAGGCAAAUCCGGGCGCGUAAUUCAAGGGAGUGGGACGAGUGAACUUGUUCACGUAGCAAUCGGAAGUGGUUCCAAGAAAAGCCUCUAAGCUUCAGUCAUACGAGACCGUACCGCAAACCGACACAGGUGGGCGAGAUGAGUAUUCUAAGGCGCUUGAGAGAACUCGGGAGAAGGAACUCGGCAAAUUGGUACCGUAACUUCGGGAAAAGGUACGCCCCGGUAGCUUGGCUGAUUUACUUCAGUAGGGCGAAAGGGUUGCAAUAAACUGGUGGCUGCGACUGUUUAAUAAAAACACAGCACUCUGCAAACACGAAAGUGGACGUAUAGGGUGUGACGCCUGCCCGGUGCUGGAAGAUUAAAUGAUGGGGUGCAAGCUCUUGAUUGAAGUCCCAGUAAACGGCGGCCGUAACUAUAACGGUCCUAAGGUAGCGAAAUUCCUUGUCGGGUAAGUUCCGACCUGCACGAAUGGCGUAACGAUGGCCACACUGUCUCCUCCCGAGACUCAGCGAAGUUGAAGUGUUUGUGAUGAUGCAAUCUACCCGCGGCUAGACGGAAAGACCCCAUGAACCUUUACUGUAGCUUUGCAUUGGACUUUGAACCAAUCUGUGUAGGAUAGGUGGGAGGCUUUGAAGCGGGGACGCCAGUUCUCGUGGAGCCAACCUUGAAAUACCACCCUGGUUUGUUUGAGGUUCUAACCUUGGUCCGUGAUCCGGAUCGGGGACAGUGCAUGGUAGGCAGUUUGACUGGGGCGGUCUCCUCCUAAAGUGUAACGGAGGAGUUCGAAGGUACGCUAAUUACGGUCGGACAUCGUGAUGAUAGUGCAAUGGCAUAAGCGUGCUUAACUGCGAGACCGACAAGUCGAGCAGGUACGAAAGUAGGACAUAGUGAUCCGGUGGUUCUGUAUGGAAGGGCCAUCGCUCAACGGAUAAAAGGUACUCUGGGGAUAACAGGCUGAUUCCUCCCAAGAGUUCAUAUCGACGGGGGAGUUUGGCACCUCGAUGUCGGCUCAUCACAUCCUGGGGCUGUAGCCGGUCCCAAGGGUAUGGCUGUUCGCCAUUUAAAGUGGUACGUGAGCUGGGUUUAAAACGUCGUGAGACAGUUUGGUCCCUAUCUGCCGUGGGCGUUGGAAAUUUGAAGGGGGCUGCUCCUAGUACGAGAGGACCGGAGUGGACGAACCUCUGGUGUACCGGUUGUCACGCCAGUGGCAUUGCCGGGUAGCUAAGUUCGGAAGAGAUAACCGCUGAAAGCAUCUAAGCGGGAAACUUGCCUUGAGAUGAGAUUUCCCGGAGCUUUAAGCUCCUUGAAGGGUCGUUCGAGACCAGGACGUUGAUAGGCUGGGUGUGGAAGUGCAGUAAUGCAUUAAGCUAACCAGUACUAAUUGCCCGUAAGGCUUGUCCCUAUAAC